rnacentral:lncRNA from 1 species
UUUGUGUUCUAAAAUGUAUACUGCUUGUGUUCUGUAAAUGUAUACAAACACUUGAGAUAAGAGUUACUUCUCCGGAUGAGAUGUGAUUGCAUUUGCCAAUAUCUGACAAUAACCUAGUUAAUGGAAUACUGAUAUUAAGAUCAAGGCCAUCCCUUGAAAGCAGCUCUCAAGUCUUUGUUGGCCUCUGCUGUUUUUAGCAAGCACAAGAUUAUUUUUGAAGUGUGCUGGGGGUGUUUGCUUCCUCUGUGGGCACUCACCUCUUUGUUUAAAUUGGCACUUUCACUGACAAGGGCCAUAUGAUGACAGUGGUCUUUAAUGCAGUUAUUCCUGAAGAUCUGCUGAAGGUCCAUUGCACCAGUGGAAAAUGUCCAUUCUUAAGCCCCCUGACACAUACCGUAGAAGCCAGAGUGUGAAACAUCAGAAACAGCAGUGGAACGCCUGCCCUGUAUUUGUUUUCUGGGACAUGGAAAAGAUCCAUUUGUUUAAAGGCAGAUCCAGAUCUAUUGGAUAUGUUGGAUAUGACAGGUUGUUGGUUCUGCUGCCCAGACAGGGAGCAGUGCUUCUAACAGCAUUUGC